CAGCCGCCACGGGAACACGUAGGUGGCAAGCGUUGUCCGGAAUUAUUGGGCGUAAAGGGCUCGCAGGCGGUUUGUCGCGUCUGCUGUGAAAACCGGAGGCUCAACCUCCAGCCUGCAGUGGGUACGGGCAGACUAGAGUGCGGUAGGGGAGAUUGGAAUUCCUGGUGUAGCGGUGGAAUGCGCAGAUAUCAGGAGGAACACCAGUGGCGAAGGCGACUCUCUGGUCUGUAACUGACGCUGAGGAGCGAAAGCGUGGGGAGCGAACAGGAUUAGAUACCCGCGUAGUCCCUGUCUCUUAUAC
rnacentral:rRNA from 1 species